rnacentral:rRNA from 1 species
CCAAUAGCGUAUAUUAAAGUUGUUGCAGUUAAAAAGCUCGUAGUUGAAUUUCGGGAUCAAUUUGCUGGUCGUGCCUUCGGUACGCACUGGUAUUAUUGGUUUCUCCUUUCUGAUGAAUCGCGAUGUCAUUAAUUUGGUGUCGUGGGGAAUCAGGACUGUUACUUUGAAAAAAUUAGAGUGUUUAAAGCAGGCUCACGCUUGAAUACAUUAGCAUGGAAUAAUGAAAUAGGACGUUUGAUUCUAUUUUGUUGGUUUCUAGGAUCGACGUAAUGAUCAAUAGGGAUAGUUGGGGGCAUUAGUAUUCAAUUGUCAGAGGUGAAAUUCUUGGAUUUAUUGAAGACUAACUACUGCGAAAGCAUUUGCCAAGGAUGUUUUCAUUAAUCAAGAACGAAAGUUAGGGGAUCGAAGACGAUCAGAUACCGUCGUAGUCUUAACCAUAAACUAUGCCGACUAGGGAUCGGAUGAUGUUAAUUUUUUAAUGACUCAUUCGGCGCCUUACG